GGAGCGGCGAACGGCUGCGUAACACGUUGGUACCUACCCCGAACUCAGGGAUAACAUCGAGAAAUCGGUGCUAAUACCGGAUAGUCCCGUGAGGGUAAAGAUUUAUCGGUUCGGGAGGGGCCUGCGGCAUAUCAGCUUGUUGGUAAGGUAAAGGCUUACCAAGGCUAUGACGUGUAGCUGGUUUGAGAGAACGACCAGCCAGAAUGGGACUGAGACACGGCCCAUACUCC
rnacentral:rRNA from 1 species